AUGCGCAGAUACAAAGGGAUGCCUGUACUUUCAGGAAGCGGAGGGCAGGAAAGCUUUCCAGGAUGUCAAUAGCAGAUGAGAACAUCAGAGGUAAAGUCUGGAGGAGAAAUGAUCACGCACACUGCAGAGCUUCAUGAAGGUGAAACACAAUCCAUCUUGCUUCUACAAAAAGAAAAGGUGUUUGUGUACAGCUAUAAAAAACCUUUGGAAAAGAAGACAGGCAGUUUGGAGAUGGAGAUGAGCAUCACAUAGCAAGUUUGGAGACGAGCAUCACAUAGCUAUGAUAGCUAUUCUUGGAAAAAUAUCAAUUCACCCCUAUUCUAAAAUGGCCUCCACAUUUGUGAUCCUAUCAUGGCUACCCCAUUUUCUGACUAGCAAAAAUGAUGAAGAAAGCAAGAAACAGCAUGAAGAGAAAAGGCCAAGCACCCAGAGUCUCCUGAAACACAUGAGAAAUGUGAUCUCUUAGCUUUUACAUUUUCAAAACAAAGGAUCAUGGUGGUUUAUCUCAAAGACUGGAAAAUAAACAUAAAAGACUAAUCAGCAAGACCAUGGGAGAAAAUAUGAAUAUAAAAAC
rnacentral:lncRNA from 1 species